CCGUGCGUUGGCCGCGCCCCCCGGCUGAGGGGAGCAGAGGGGUCCCGGGGGUGCGCGGGGCUCCCCGGCCGGGAAUUCCCGGGGGAAAUGGGAAACUGCUCCUGAGGGGCACGGGCUCCUACAGGCGGAGGAAAAUUAAUCCAAAGUGUUUUCGUGAAGAUUGGACAGAGAAACGCAGAGAAAUUGCUGGCCCUCAUCGAGUGCUCUCCUGACAUAACGGCACAGAUCACAUUUUCGGAUAGUUUGUCACCAUAUAGUCGUCCACGGGCUGAACCGUCAAAGGCGAUAUGUUAAUUUCUAUAUUCGGAUAGCUACCGCUGACCAGUGAAAUAGAAAAAGUUCCUUAAAAUACUUCUAGCUCAGGAACAAAGAACAGAAAUGCAGUAAUAAGGCUGCCCUUCAGCACACCAAGGUUUUGGCUUUCAGGGCACACUGAAGGAGGCUGAUUUGGUUUUUUUUUUCAUGUUUGGGCCUUUCACACCAGUGUUCCUCAAGGAGCUCAGGUGUGGUCAAUAAAGAAGCUGCUGAGCCACUGUGGAAGGAUGAGGUGUUUACCAAAAAAUCUGCCAUCGCACUUGUCUGUGAUGAUGUGUUUUAGUCCAAGGUCACCUGGUCCUUGGGUAGAGAGGACGUCUGAGCGAGAGAGCCACAAGAAAACACAGGCCUGACUGGUUUUUAUCAGACAUUAAUGCAGAAAUCCUUCUCUCAAGCCAACCUUAGCAGAUGGAAAUGCUCUCAGAGAGAGCAGACUGAAGAAGUGACCUAAGUGAACUGUGCAGCACAUGAGCUUAGAUGUACAGAAGGUCCUGUGUUAUCCAAAAAAGGUAAUGGCCAAGGUCACUGCAGUGGAAGGACAUCAAAGAGUUUCAGUUGAAACAGAAUGUUUGGGUUGCUUAAUAGAAUUGUUCUUGGUUGAUAGAGUUUGUGGUUAAAAUGUUGCCAUGUAACAUGAUGCCAAAACUACUGAUACAAGCUUAACAGAGGAUAUUGUAGGUAGCAAGAAUUAUAUUGAAUGUAUCAACCAAUGUGGCUAUGAAAUGCUAAAAAAUCAAGUCAGAAAUACUCCAUUCUAUUAAACAGUUUGGCUCUUCAGAGCUUUCCCACAAGUGAUAUUUCUAGAUCCUCUGUUGCCCUGCUCAAAGCUGCAAUGAAAUAAAGUAAUAGUUUUCAUUUUCAAAAUAAAAAAAGAUAACCCAAUCUCUUGGCAUCGGUUUGAAUAAAACUGAUUUGAUGUCUAAUCUGAUUUAAAUGGAUCAGAAAUGAAUGUACCAAAGAUAAGACAGUUGCUAUUUAAUCACAGUCUCAUUUGCCUGUCAAUGUGAAGUCUACUACAAAUCAAGACAGCAAGUAGCCUGAAGCACCAAUUUAUUUUCUGUCAACGAAAGGAAGGCUUAUCUCCACAAAGUUGCUGCCAGUUUUUUGUCUCUACAAAAUAAAAAAUGCACUCCUGACUCACAGGAGAAACAGAAGUACCUGGAGGUGGAUGCAUGGAAUACUUUCAAAAAAUCUUGCUUUGCUUCAGUGCUUCAGAAAACAAGUCCUAGGUCAAAAGCCAUUUGAUGGGAUCUCACAGAGAUGAGAGCAGAAACACUAACUUACAUCUUGUGUUCUUUAGCCAGGAAACAGUCUGUUCACUUCAGCCAGCAUUUCCUUGCUCUGAUGGGUGUCUAUGUAAACACAGAGCUGAUCUGAUGUAUUUCAGUCAGUUCUAGUAACAACAGGUAAUAUUUACUUUUGACUGUUUGCUUUUGCCACUUCUCCAGCAUCUUCCUGUGCGGCUUUGAAAGAGCUUCCAAACUCCCCUCUAUGCUGCACACCAGAAAAGGACAAAACAAAGACAAUGUACCAAGUUAGCUCUUCCACACAGCUAGAGCAGGGACGCCAAAAAACUGCCCGAAAGGCUGAACUUGUCACAAAGCUUAGUUUAAUUUGACAAUCAUCAUAAGGCAUCCAUGUAAAUGAAAAAUUCCCACCAGGCUCACAAACAUUCUCCCACUAAAUAAAAUAUGUUAAAACAGAGGCCCGUGAUUCCAAAAAAUGCUAGUGGUUCCUGGUCUCGACCAGGCUGCUGCUGCUGGCAGUGGGGUCCAGGAGAUGCAGCACCAACAGCGGCAACUGUGGAAGUGUAAAGUCAGCUUGUACAAAUCUCUUUCGAUAGAGCAACAAAUGAAAAGGAAAGAGAUUGGUGUAGAAAACAUCAUUCGCCAUCCUUUCUGGGAAAACAAAACAGAAUUUAAAAGAUAAUCCCAUUCAAGGAGCAAAGAGCAGAGCUUGGAGUUCUGAAGCUCAAAAAUGCUGAUGGCCCAUUUUUAAAACUAAUGAAGCACUACAGAGGCCUGAGUUUAUUAUUGCUUUAUCCCAGUUCAGCCCAGGCUAAGGCUAUGGUGAAGUCCAAAUUCAUUUAAAGCCAGAAAAUGCAGAUCCAGUAACAGCACCUAAGUCCCCAUCCACACAUGGGUGUAAACAGAUACUUCUGGUGAAGAAAAAAAAAAGCCCUUCCAAAUUUCCUCCUCUUCCUGUCUAUGCAGAUCCCCAUAGCAGGGCAAAAAUUUGCCCUGAAAUAUAAAACAAUUUCUCUCUCGCAUCUCUGUUAGCCGAGUCUUUUCCAUAUGUUUUGCCUUUUGUUCAUACUAUGCUGGUGAUGCAUCAGCUCAGAGAUGCCUUGUGGGAGCUCACAGACAGCACACAGGUACCCACAUGUUAAAAAGUUUGUGGCACAGUCUAAGAACCAUCACCUGUACUCUGCAAUACCCCCAGGACACUUUGCCCUUGGCUACCUGAGACCAAACAGCACAGAGGGAAGACAGUGUCUUCCCAUCCUGCAUGGCUGGCCAGUGAUCCAGAGAAAUAGCAUGCCAGGGAAAUGAAAUGGCACCUUACUCCCACCCUAAGUCAGAAAACAGACUUGGGUAAAGUGGGACUUAAAAGUUUCACAUCAAGAAAGAUGGUGCUUCCCUCAAGACUAUUGUAUGACAGGGCCACUGUUAUUCAGGCAAACAUUAUUCAAGGUGGUAAAAUCUUA